rnacentral:tRNA from 1 species
GGGUCCAUAGUUUCAAUGGUAAAACGCUUCUCUCCAAAAGAAGUAUUGCUGGUUCGAGUCCAGCUGGGCCCGCCA